UUAGACAACGGUUUGGCUUCAUCCUCAUGUCUUGUCUUGGAUCUAAAAAGGCUUGACUCGUCUACCUAUUCAGUCAGGUUAUGUCCCACUUUGGGAUUGAAGUUUUUAACUGCUUUGGCCUUUUGGUGUCUUGUCUGUUGCACUGCGACAUGAAAUAACUCACGCAUUCACUCAAGAUGUAAAAGAAGGAAAAGAGGAAGUUUUAUUUCUGACUUCACAAUAUAUAGAAUUCUAAAAGUGGCAGUGGAUUGGAGGGUGAAAUUGCUAGCUCUCUAACCACACUGGUCAAACUAACAGUCUACUAAUUCUCUCCUCCCACAAAGGAGAGUGCAAAACAAUCAUUAUUUACACGAACAGUGUGUGAGAACUCCAGUAGAAACAUGUAAACAUCAGAAGGUAUAAAAACUUUUAAAAGAACAGGGUGACGCUUGUCAGCUCAUGAUUCUGUGUUUCCUGAAAGGAUUUAUUGAAGUAUUUCUGAUCAAAGAGCCCAUCCCAGUAGCCCUGAAGAGAUUACCUAUGAAUUUAUGGCAAUCUGCCAACUGAUUUUCAUAUACACCCAUGAGUUGCUUUCACUAAGGCUCAGCAAAUAGAGAAGGAGAAAUUCUGGGAUUUAAACUGAUCUCUCCAAGCUUGCUCUUUAUAUCAGAAGAGUUUUCUUGAACCUCUACCCUAAGCUGCUGCUAAAGGCUCUAACUGGAUUUCACAUUAAAUAGGGAAUUAACACACCAGUUAACUCCCUUUGUGUGACCUUUAAGAAGAAAGGCACCACUUCACAGCCUGGCUCAGCAGAGGGAGUUUCCUUUCAACCUUCCCAAGCCAGAGCCAGUCAGGCCUUUUUAGCAUAGGUGUGUCCCGACACAGCGAGGCUGCUGUUUCAGUGCAAGCUAACGAGCUGUCACUGAUUCCUAAGAAGCUGUGUACACUGGGGUGGAUGUAAUCCAAAAUUGCCUGAGCUCUGGUACUCUCAAUUGCUGAAGUCACUGCCCAAACCUGCAGAACUCUCUUCACAGAGGUUGCAGUCCAGAAAGCAUUGCACACCAGGAGAAUGGUGAUUUAAAGGACAAGUUCUGAGUGCAGAUUAACAGAAAAGGGAACAAGCAGCAAAGUUCAGCCUCUGUGUGAGCAGCAUAACAGAUGUGUGUACACAUGAAAAAUGCCAAGCCUGCUGUUAUGGAAGUCACAAGUUUUGCUUGCUGAGGGAAGGAACGAAGAAAUUGUUCUGAACAAAGAAAUGGACCUGAAGGCCCCACAAAGGUCUAAAACACCCUGACUUCCAGAACUUCACAAUA